rnacentral:rRNA from 1 species
GAUGAACGCUGGCGGCGUGCUUAACACAUGCAAGUCGAACGAUGAAGCCCAGCUUGCUGGGUGGAUUAGUGGCGAACGGGUGAGUAACACGUGAGUAACCUGCCCUUAACUCUGGGAUAAGCCUGGGAAACUGGGUCUAAUACCGGAUAGGAGCGUCCACCGCAUGGUGGGUGUUGGAAAGAUUUAUCGGUUUUGGAUGGACUCGCGGCCUAUCAGCUUGUUGGUGAGGUAAUGGCUCACCAAGGCGACGACGGGUAGCCGGCCUGGGAGGGUGACCGGCCACACGAGGCCUGGGAUACGGCCCAGACUCGAAUGUGAGGCAGAGGGGGGGAAUAUUGUACAAGGGUAGCGAGCCUGAGGCGACGAAGCCGCGUGGGGGAAGACGGCCUUCGGGUUGUAAACCGCUUUCAGUUUGGAAGAAGCGAAAGUGACGGUACCUGCAGAAGAAGCACCGGCUAACUACGUG